rnacentral:rRNA from 1 species
CUUAGGAGUUUGUGCGAGAGGCGGACGGUUGAGAAUACAUCGGAACGUACCCUGUUUCGGGGGAUAACGUAGCGAAAGUACGCUAAUACCGCAUAUUCUGUGAGCAGGAAAGCAGGGGAUCGCAAGACCUUGCGCUCUGGGAGCGGCCGAUGUCGGAUUAGCUAGUUGGUGGGGUAAAGGCCUACCAAGGCGACGAUCCGUAUCGGUCUGAUAGGAUGAUCCGCCACACUGGGACUGAGACUCGGCCCAUACUCCUACGGGAGGCAGCUUUUGGGAUUUUUGGACAUUGGGCGAAAGCCUGAUCCUGCCAUGCCGCGUGAGUGAACAACGCCUUCUGGUUGUAAAGCUCUU